AGUAUUGUCAAUAACAUGGCGGAAGCUGCGACGGCGUCCAAAAUGAUAUUUUUUCCUCUCUAAUUUCUGCUGUUAGACCACCAAGAAUAGGAAAUAUAUUUGGAAUUUAACAUCGACACGAGAAGCCAUGAGCGAUAGGGUAGAAUGGGUGGAGAUAAUAGAACCCAAAACACAGCGGCCCAUGUACGGCAAUCUCAGGACGGGAGAGCUGGCAUGGGAACCACCCUCAAGCGCAAAAGUGUAAGUUUGUUUUUGUUGAAUUGUUUUGAUUUUAAUACGAAGUUCCACGGUGAAGGCAUGGCUCGAUAUUAGCAGUGGCCCGAGGCAACCAAUACUGAGAGUCGGGCCACCAAAAUUCUGUAAAAACCCAGUAGUGGUGCGGCCGGGCUGCCAAAGUUUUGAUAUAAAUUGUUUUGUUUUUUGUUGUCUUUAGGCCACCAAGAAUAUUAAGUCGAUGAUUUUGGUGGACCGAUCGGGCCACCAAGAAACAGGGGUGUGAGAGUUCAGAUUUUUAUCUGAUUUCAGAUUUUUUUGUUUUGAUUUUCAGCUUAAUUUCAGCUUAUUUUUUGCCUUCCUCUGUCCAAAAAGUAUGGGAGCUCUUUCUAUUUCAGACUUUUUCAACACUCUUCAGCUUUUUUCAGAUCUUUUUAUGUGUGACCACUCACACCUCUGAAGAAAACAAGUUUAGUGUGGAGUCCUAUGGGGGGGGGGGUAGUGGAGGAAAUGGAAUGGGGAGAAUGAGGAGAGGAGACUGAAUGUAGAAAGUGUGUUUAAUACUAGCAGGAAAGGGACUGAGAGGGGAUGAGGAAGGAUGGAGCAGGGAUGAAAAGAAGGGAGUGAAACAGAGAGAGAGAGAGGGAGAGUGAGGUUGGGGAGGGGUGUAUUCCCUGGUAGCAUGUACACAUGUGUAGGAGGCUGCUACAUGUAUUUUAAUGUACCGGUAUUCAGGGCUGUAAAUAGAUGUUGUCAUUCAUGGAUGCGAAGGAGAGUUUUUUACAUUCUGUACUGAUGUUGGAAUCACACUUCUUGAUCGGCCUACCCCAAAUCGGAUGGAGUCUUUUUUUGUGUGAUGGCAACGCGAUGUUUCCAUACUGCACACGUACAUGUACAUGUACACACCUACAUGUACAUACAGGUACAUGUAUGGUGUAAUGCACAUACAUGUACAUGUAAGUUUUGUUAUAUGCCUACAGUAUUCAUGUACACGUGUACAUGUACAAUGACUGCAAAUAAUGAAAGGGAGACAGAUUUUUAGGCCUGUACACUGUACAUACAGUACAUGUAUUUUGCACAAUCCCUGCAUACACUGUACACUGCAGUGCCAGUAUACUAGUCUGUAUACUGUACUGCUUGUGCAGUUUCUGUGUACAUGUAUGUACAUUGUACAUGUGUUUGUGAAAAUGAUAUUUGCAGAUUUCUGUUCUGUUAUUUUGCUUUCAUACAUGUACAUGUACAUGUACAUGUAGAUUGUCACCUUCUUCCAUAUUAUGCCUGCAUACAUGUACAUGUAGCCUACCUUGACAUGUACAUGUACAAGUACUUGUACAGUACUUUUUACUUUAACAUACAUGUACAUGUAGGCCUACACAUAUGUACAGGUGUACUGUAUACUGCAAAGUUAAUUUCCAAAUAGGCCUAUACAGUGGGCUAGUACUAUUCAGUACACCCUUCAGAGUUCAGUAUGAAUACAUUCAUUUUUCUGUAGGAUAGGAAGUUGCUAUUUAUACCGUGAUUGAUACUGUACAAUACUUCCACACACAAUGACAUUCCUAAGUGAGUUCAUACAGGGACUGUUCAAGGCCAUUGUAUUUUAUCCCAGGUCAUUGUUUAUCAUGUUUGUUUUCAUAUUUUGUUCCUCUCACAGAGUUUAGGUGAACAGUGUUUGUUUGCUUGAAUUCAAUGUCUCUGUAGAGAUAAGAUUGUCAUAAUUUGAACUUUUGAAAGUUCAGUGCACGUCCAAUGACCCUACAGUGUAUGGAAAGUUUAAUGUACAAUAUAUACAGAAUUUACCACCCCUGGGGGCCGUUUCAUAAAGCUGUUCACUUCAAGUAUUCAACAGCAAUGAAGUUCAGGCACUGAUAGGGCAGGCCUACAACAGGCUAGUCUGCAGGCACAGACCCUGAUUGAAACUUUGAUCAACAAGUGUGUCUCCACGGAGUCCACGCAAAGACUAGCACAUUAUACAAAUCUUGCUGUUUUAAUUCAGGAGAGAUCCUUCAGUACACAAGGCAUGAGUAGGCUGCAAUUCUCACCCUUUUCUCGAGUGAAGGGUUUACACAGCAGACUAACAACAGGCCUGCAUAUAAUGUACAUGUAUGGGCCCUACAGAGAGAGGAAAUUACACAGGAGGGCAACGGGUGAUUUUGCCCUCAUGAUGACUUCCCAAAUUGCCCAUAAAAUUCCCCUACAAAAAGGCAACAAGACAUGCUUUGGGGGACAAUGCUACAUGUAUUUAAUACAAUGUAGAGUCGCCCCAAGAUCUGUCUGUGUCACAAACACUGGUAUUCAAGAUUAUUAAAAAAAUAAAUAUUCUAACUACAUGUACACUUCUUCUUUACUACAUGUACAUGUAUGGCAGAAUAAUGCUUGUUGCAACAAAAGAAGCAGCCCUUAAAAUGACAGAAAUACAUGUAGCCCCCAAAACUCCGCAAUUGCACCAAUGUGGAAAAAUAGCCC